UACGGAGGGUCCAAGCGUUAUCCGGAUUUAUUGGGUUUAAAGGGUGCGUAGGCGGAUUUGUAAGUCAGUGGUGAAAUCCUGCAGCUUAACUGUAGAACUGCCAUUGAUACUGCUGGUCUUGAGUAUAGUUGAGGUAGGCGGAAUGAGUAGUGUAGCGGUGAAAUGCUUAGAUAUUACUCAGAACACCGAUUGCGAAGGCAGCUUGCCAAUCUAUUACUGACGCUGAUGCACGAAAGCGUGGGGAUCGAACAGGAUUAGAUACCCUGGUAGUCCACGCCGUAAACGAUGCUCACUCGCUGUUGGCGAUACACAGCCAGCGGCUUAGCGAAAGUUUUAAGUGAGCCACCUGGGGAGUACGAUCGCAAGGUUGAA
rnacentral:rRNA from 1 species